rnacentral:sRNA from 1 species
AAGCACGGAGGGGAGCCUGAGCUCCCCUCCAAAUCGACUUUGUGCUUUGUUCUUCUUGUGCUCGAUCUGUUGUUGUUCUUGUCGACCGCCACCCUGAAGAUGCUUCAGUCGGCCCCAGCCGGGCCAAGAGCAAACGUAUUUCUUUGAUCGCCGAUAUCGCGAUGAUCACCAGGUGAUCCAGUCAGUCCGGGCGCUACCUCAAGGUAGUU